rnacentral:rRNA from 1 species
UACGCAGGUGGCGAGCGUUGUCCGGAUUUACUGGGCGUAAAGGGAGCGUAGGCGGACUUUUAAGUGAGAUGUGAAAUACCCGGGCUCAACUUGGGUGCUGCAUUUCAAACUGGAAGUCUAGAGUGCAGGAGAGGAGAAUGGAAUUCCUAGUGUAGCGGUGAAAUGCGUAGAGAUUAGGAAGAACACCAGUGGCGAAGGCGAUUCUCUGGACUGUAACUGACGCUGAGGCUCGAAAGCGUGGUGAGCAAACAGGAUUAGA